rnacentral:SRP_RNA from 1 species
GGGUAAGCCUUAUACGACCAGCUCCCUCUUACUCCUCCAGGGUGGAAACACAGCAAAGGUACGAGGUUGUAGCGGUGCGAUAUGAGUAACUUACCCACU